UACGUAGGUGGCGAGCGUUGUCCGGAUUUACUGGGCGUAAAGAAUGCGUAGGUGGAUAUUUAAGUGGGAUGUGAAAUCCCCGGGCUCAACCCGGGAACUGCAUACCAAACUGGAUAUCUGGAGUGCAGGAGAGGAAAGCGGAAUUCCUAGUGUAGCGGUGAAAUGCGUAGAUAUUAGGAGGAACACCAGUGGCGAAGGCGGCUUUCUGGACUGUAACUGACACUGAGGCA
rnacentral:rRNA from 1 species